GCUGCUGUGUACCUGCAGGGAGUGAAAUAGCUGGCCCAAACUGUGACGAGCACUCUGGUACUCUUUGGCCCGUACUGAAAGCAAAGUCUGAGCCCAGAACUGCCGUAACAUCUCUAUGGCGCUGUCCACGUGCUCUGAAUCAAAGUGGUACACCGGGUCGGACCUGGUGGAGCUCAGGAAGUCCAUGGCCGCGUUGGACUUCACCACCUCUCCCACAGCUCUCCAGAAGCCACGGUCCAGUCUGGUCUGAGAGGGAUACAGGAUGAUUUUUGUUUUUACCAUCAUUGGAACAAGAUGUUGUUCUGUGCUCAAAUAUCACAAUGUAAUAUGAACUAAGAAGAAGAGAAGUUCCUUCCUUGUGCAUUCAUUGAAACUGUUCAGAUUUUAAUACAAUAAACAUCUUAUUGAUCCGUUUGUGUAAUAGUAGAAAGCAGCAGCACUAUUUUUAUACUGGAUGUACAGUAAAUAACCUGACUUCAGACAUCAGCUCACCUGUUCCUCUGCAUGGCUUGCCUGGUGUUUUUUGCCACCCCUCAAAGUCUCUAGGGUGACAUUGAGAAUCGCCUGCUCCGUGAUGUACUGGUGUGUGCGCGAGUCCCAGGACAGUGUUAACACUCGAGACCAAAAGUUGGGUAGGAAGCCCAUGCAUGGUAGAGCCAGGAGGAGAAGGAUUAAGUAUUGAGUGACACUACAGCUAUCCAUGGUGUUUUCUGAGUUCCAUCGUCAUCAUGAUUAAUGUUGAACCUAUGGAGCCAAUUCAACUGUGAGCUUGACACCACAGCUGAUUGUUCUGUGCAGGUGGAGGGCCUCACAGACGGGCAAGACAGCAGAGGCACUGCAGAGAUCCUAGGAUUUAUGACCUCCAGAAACAAAAUGAUGUACACAUGAGACGCAUUCUGGCCCUUCGUGCCCUCCCAGUGGACCUGCGAGAGGAUGACUGAUUUCUUCAAGACCCGCAAUUGCAAAGAUGAACCAGAUAUUGCUGACAUGCCUUCGGCUCUCCUCACUGUGGUCACUGACAACGCCCCUGCUACGGUCCACUUCAACCCUGAGAGCGUUUCUGUUGUAGUCGAAGUGGAAAUUGUGAGUGAUUAUCCAAAGAAACAAAUUUACGCAUUCACCUUUGUUCAGAAAAUAAUAAUGUCUUGAUGAUAGCAAACCACUGAAGCUGUGCCUAAAAGUACUUGUUGAAAGAAGUUUGAAUGUACUCAUGUACGUAAAUGGUUUGUGUCUGUGAAAUAUAGAAAUGGCAGGAGAUGUUACAAGUUGUGAUAAUGAUUGUUGAAUAAAGAAAACUUGACUUGUAA